GCCCGCCCCCACGGCGCGUUGCCUUCUGGGACUUGUAGUACGCUGGCGCCCUGGAGCCGGCCAGGCCCACUGCGCAGGCUCGGCCGUUGGGCUGGCCCCACCCCGGCGGGCGGAGUAACCGUUUGGAAUCCCCCGGGACCGCAGGCGGCUGUCUCCUCCCCGCCGGUGGAAAGAGUGUAAACACGCGCGCUGCGGAGGGCGGCCUCCCGGGGGAGGUUACCCGGGGGAUGGCGGAGCUGCAUGGAGCUCCCCGCUCGAGAGAAAGGCUCAGCUUUGCUUUGUCGUGACGAGCUGCACAGACCCACGCAGCGCAGCCUUGAGGCUGCUAACAGAUUGGUGUCAGUCCCCUCCCAGGAACCGAAUCGAGCUGCUGAAGAGGAGCCCUCCACACUUAACCACUAGGCCACCAGGGCUGGCCCUUGUCAGCGUUUUAUGGUGCAAGUUCUGAGAAUGUACUGAGGGAAAACACCCUUAUUUUAGAUUUCCUGUUGAUGAAAUGAUAGCUAAACAUUUGUUGAGUUAUUUGAUUGGACACCUCUUGCUUUCAGCGUUGCUUUAGCGUCUGUGCUCUGUAUUCACUUCCCCUUAGCUGUAGCGCCCCACUUUGCCAGUGCAGUAGCAGUGUGACAAGCUAAUCCCUUUGCCUAGUUGAUAAAUGAACCUGGACAUAGA